rnacentral:pre_miRNA from 1 species
GGCCGGGCUCACCAAGACUCCGUGUGUUACCUCGGGCUACAACACGGGACCCGGGCGCUACUCCGACCCCUCGUGUCUUGUGUUGCAGCCGGAGGGACACAGGUCCGCA